rnacentral:rRNA from 1 species
ACAUGCUUACAGCAUAGCAUUAAUGCAUCAGAUCCCAUCAGAACUCUGUAGUUAAGAAUGCUCAGGCUAGAGCAGUGCUAGGAUGAGUGAUUGCCUAGGAAGUCCUAGUGUUUUACAUGCC